CUCAUCUCUUAACAUCUAUUCCAAAUCUUAUCCUCCAUGAAAGCUAGAGUUGUACUCUGCCCUGUUGGAUGUUCCUAGUUUUUAGCUGUUGAUACCAUAAUCACUAUUCACGGGUUGACAAACAUCUACAUUUGUAUAUAUUCACAGCAAGAAAGAGUGACUAUGACAUAAUUAUUUCCAUAUUGAAACAAAUUUGAAUGAAAUUAACUUGGACAACCACUUGGAUGUUAGAGUUAAAAAGAUGCAGAAUUCUAACAAUACCAGCAAGUAGUGAUGUCUAUCAAGAAUGUACUAUGGCCCAAACCGGUUU